AAUGGAAUUGCUGGGUCAUAGUAAUUCGAUGUUAACUUAUUAAGGAACAAACUAUUUUCCAAAAUAGCUACAUCAUUUUACAUUCCCACCAGCAAU
rnacentral:pre_miRNA from 1 species